GGGGUUGUGGCUCAGUGGUAGAGCACACACCUAGCAUGUGUGAGGCACUGGGUUCGAUCCUCGGCACCA
rnacentral:tRNA from 1 species